GCCCAAUCCAGCCCAUAUUCAAAGUUGAAACCGAAGUAUUCAAUCUCUCUCUGUACUUCCGGUUCCGGGUUUUGAGGGUCCUAGGAAACUUAUUCUCUUCUUCAGUUCCACAGCACGAGAACCAUUGGUGGUGUUAUAAUCGUUUUGCAGUGAAGUAUUUAUUUUGGUAUGGCUGGGUUUUUGGGAUACAGCAGCCUUGCGCCUAAGACCAAGAAUGUGCUUGUUGCUGGAGGCUUGACGGCUUUUGUAUUAGGGGUGUAUUUCUACACCAUGAGAGCUGUUGGAGGUACAGAUGAACUUCAGACUGCUAUCGACAAGUUUGAAGCGCAGAAACACAAGCAAGAGGCUUGAAUUAGUCAAGCCAUCAGAGGCUUUUUCUUAUCCCCUUGUUUGAAAAUGUAAUAAGUUGAUCAUGUUGAAGAUAAGCCACUACGGGGCUCAUGCCCCCACUCUACAUAUUAGUUUCCUGUAAAAUUUUCACAUUUUUUCUCCAAUUCUGAACUUUGGGAAUCUUAUGACCUAUAAAUAACUUUAGCUUGGAAAAUUCAUAAUUUCAAA